rfam:Triticum urartu cultivar G1812 contig713484, whole genome shotgun sequence.
GAUCUACUCCCUCUGUUCCACAAUACACGCCUUCCAUUUGUCAAAAUAUAGAUGUAUCUAAACAUAUUUUAAUAUAUAGACACACCCAUUUUUAAACAAAUGGAAGUAAAGUAUUUUGGAACGGAGGGAGUAUGUU